rnacentral:lncRNA from 1 species
UGGAGACAAACACGUUUUGGGUCUCAAACAAAAUCUCAAAUUUUCACCUGAACUUUGUGUUUCCAAAUUCUUUUGGCCUAUGCCUAAGUUCCCUCCUUUUAAGGGAUUUGAUCAUCCUUUCCCUUUACCUCCACCUUUGGAGCUUCCACCGUUUCCUAAACCAUGCCCACCACCUCCGGUUCCGGUGUACGAGCCACCCCCAAAGGUGGAACUUCCACCACCUGUCCCGGUUCACGAGCCACCCCCAAAGGUAGAGGUUCCACCACCCGUCCCGGUUCACGACCCACCGCCAAAGGUGGAGCACCCACCUCCGGUUCCGGUUUACAAGCCACCUCCAAAGGUAGAGCACCCACCUCCAGUUCCGGUUUACAAGCCGCCUCCAAAGGUAGAGCACCCACCUCCGGUUCCGGUUUACAAGCCACCUCCAAAGGUAGAGCACCCACCUCCGGUUCCAGUACACAAGCCACCAACAAUCCCUAAGAAGCCAUGCCCGCCUAAGUCGCCGAAGAUUGAGCUUCCACCGCCAGUGCCAGUUCACAAACCACCGACUAAGAAGCCUUGUCCGCCCAUGCCACCAAAGAAAGUUGAUCCGCCACCGGUUCCAGUCCACAAGCCGCCGCCGAAAAUAGUCCUUCCACCGCCGGUACCAAUCCACAAGCCGCCAAAGAAGCCGUGCCCGCCUAAACCGCCAAAGGUCGAGCUUCCACCACCAGUACCGGUCUACAAGCCACCACCGAAGAUAGAGCAUCCACCAAUCUAUGUGCCACCGGUGAUCCCGAAGAAGCCGUGCCCUCCCAAAGCGCCGAAGAUCGAUCCACCACCGGUUCCUGUCUACAAGCCGCCACCGAAGAUAGAGCAUCCACCAAUCUACGUGCCACCAGUGAUCCCAAAGAAGCCGUGUCCUCCGCCGGUGCCAAUCUACGUGCCACCGGUGGUGAUCCCGAAGAAGCCAUGUCCACCACUUCCACCACUUCCAAAGUUUCCUCCUCUUCCUCCUAAAUACAUUCACCACCCCAAGUUCGGCAAAUGGCCUCCGUUGCCGACUCACCCUUGAGAGUUUAAUACAUAUACUUGUAUGUAAUCAACGUGUUGCUUUUUAAAUAUUUUU